rnacentral:rRNA from 1 species
GACGAACGCUGGCGGUGCGCCUAACACAUGCAAGUCGAACGGAGAUACCAGAAAGAUCCUUUCGGGGUGAAUUUUGACUAUCUUAGUGGCGGACGGGUGAGUAACACGUGAGCAACCUGCCUUACAGAGGGGGAUAACAUCUGGAAACGGAUGCUAAUACCGCAUAACAUUUUGAAACAGCAUGGUUUUGAGAUCAAAGAUUUUAUCGCUGUAAGAUGGGCUCGCGUCCGAUUAGCUAGUUGGUGAGGUAACGGCCCACCAAGGCGACGAUCAGUAGCCGGCCUGAGAGGGUGAACGGCCACAUUGGGACUGAGACACGGCCCAGACUCCUACGGGAGGCAGCAGUGGGGAAUAUUGCACAAUGGGGGAAACCCUGAUGCAGCGACGCCGCGUGAGUGAAGAAGUAUUUCGGUAUGUAAAGCUCUAUCAGCAGGGAAGAAAAUGACGGUACCUGACUAAGAAGCCCCGGCUAACUACGUGCCAGCCGCCGC